GUCUCUGUGGUGCAAUUGGUCAGCGCGUUCGGCUGUUAACUGAAAGGUUGGUGGUUCAAGCCCACCCAGGGACG